AGAACGAACGCUGGCGGCAUGCCUAACACAUGCAAGUCGAACGAGACCUUCGGGUCUAGUGGCGCACGGGUGCGUAACGCGUGGGAAUCUGCCCUUAGGUACGGAAUAACAGUGAGAAAUUACUGCUAAUACCGUAUGAUGUCUUCGGACCAAAGAUUUAUCGCCUAGGGAUGAGCCCGCGUUGGAUUAGCUAGUUGGUGGGGUAAAGGCCUACCAAGGCGACGAUCCAUAGCUGGUCUGAGAGGAUGAUCAGCCACACUGGGACUGAGACACGGCCCAGACUCCUACGGGAGGCAGCAGUGGGGAAUAUUGGACAAUGGGCGAAAGCCUGAUCCAGCAAUGCCGCGUGAGUGAAGAAGGCCUUCGGUUGUAAAGCUCUUUUACCCGGGAAGAUAAUGACUGUACCGGGAGAAGUAAGCCCCGGCUAACUCCGUGCCAGCAGCCGC
rnacentral:rRNA from 1 species